rnacentral:rRNA from 1 species
UACAGAGGGGGCAAGCGUUGUUCGGAAUUACUGGGCGUAAAGGGCGCGUAGGCGGCCUUCUAAGUCGAACGUGAAAUCCCCGGGCUCAACCCGGGAACUGCGUCCGAUACUGGAAGGCUUGAAUCCGGGAGAGGGAUGUGGAAUUCCAGGUGUAGCGGUGAAAUGCGUAGAUAUCAGGAGGAACACCAAUAGCGAAGGCAGCUCGCUGGGACGAUACUGACGCUAAGGCGCGAAAGCGUGGGGAGCGAACAGG